UAAAAAAAGAAAAAGUAGCAGUGCUGUGUUUAUGUGUGGAAGGGUUAACUAGAAUGGAGCAUGAAGUCACUUUCUGGUAGACGGUGAAAGACAGCCUUUCAUGGAUAUUGACAGCCAGAUUUCACAUUAUAGAUGUAAAGCCUUUUAAUUUUAUUGAAAUUAUAACUUGACUUUAAUGACUAAAAUGCUAUUCAUUUAUUGGCUCCUAAAGUUAAACACAACCUCCCAUAGAAGGCAUACAGUGAAUGCUACUAUUUUUAAAAACCCACACAGGCAUCUCAGAAAGCAGGUAUAAAGCUUUAAUUCACCGUGGGCGUUUCUCUAACCAUAGACAGCAUUCAAACCAAGUAUCAUACCACCAUUCCUUUUUAACUAGCUCAGGACAUAGUACAUGUAACAUGAAGCACUGACUAAAUAUAAAUACAGAAAUUGAAUACAUGUAAGAAAGUCUAAAUAAAACAAGAUUAAGAAAGACUAAGUUUCAUGAAAAUUUACAUAAGCUGACUUUACUUCUAAACAUGUCAUGAAUAUGACAAAUCACAAUAAAAUCACAACUGCUUUUAAAUAACAGUAUCUAAAAACUUGUGAAUAUCCAGCUAUUUUGAUCUUUUCUACAUUGCAUUUACAUUUCUAUCCACAUAGGCUGGCUUCCAGACUGUAGAUAAAACUUCUUGGCUAAUGAGGAUUACUUAAAUAUUCUUGUGUACACUAGAAGCCUUAUAAUGGCAGAAGUCUGCAAAUGGACAUGGUAAUGGGUUUGUUUUGCCUUUACUAAUACCCCCAGGAAGAUCCUUGUUUUUGACCUAUUCAAGAUCAUAUCUGCCUAUCUUCAUACUCUUCAGUUGGUGAGUCACUGUUACAAGACACCUGGGUAAGGAAACAAGCUGCCUCAAGUGUGGGUACCAUGAGGUCCAACAGGACAGAACAGACACUCAUGAAGCUAUCAUCUGCUGCAUAGUCAAUAUGAAUACUGGGCUAGCUAGAGUAUCAAACAUGAAGUGUUUAGAAUGAACCAUUGGAAAAUUAACUAUAUUAGUUUCUUUCAAACAUCGAUCUGCCCUUCCAACUGAAGAACUGCCAGGGUAAUUUCACUUACUGUUCCUGGUUUUGGUAUGCCCCUACAACAUGAGAAUUGAACUGAACUACAAUGAUUGUAAUGUCAUCUCUAUACAUCCGAGCAAGCUCUUCAGGAAGACUAAGCAUUUUAGAGAGUCGUUCAUGAUCAACAGCCCCAAAUUCAUUAUUGCCUACAGCAUGGCGAAUGAGAUGGGUUGCUGCAUUCUGAUCCUCAAACACUGAUGACAUCUUUGCUCUCCUUUCUGUUAAAAGGCCAUGCAUCUGUCCCAGAGUCACCUUGUACCCACCAACUGCUAUUGGCUGUUGGUGAUGCAUACCAGUUAAGUAUUCACCCACAAUCCUAACCACAUCCUGUCUAUGCAUAGUCUCCCACAACCCAUCAGUUGCUAACACUAGGAAUUUAUCCUGUGGCCUUAAUCUGUGAUAAGUUACCUCUGGCUCAGCAGUAAGAUAAGGAGGUGUAUGAUAGUUAGGAGGGAUAAACUUGGUGUAUUCAUUGUCAUUCAACUGGUCUGGGCCAGACUCUAUCACUCUCUUUUGAAGGUCAAUGCUCCAUUUGAACUUUACAUCUCCAAAAGCCCUAAAGGGCAUCAGCAAGCCAAGCAGCCGGUCCUGCUUUACCACGCUCUUGGCCUCAUUUUUUGGGUGUUCCAGUUUCAGACGCUCUAGUUCUCUUUCAUUCUGAGCAUUGUGGUCAUUAGAGAGUGUGACUGCUGACCAAGAGCCAUCUUCUUCUUGCACACCUAGCAUGGCUCUACUAUCACCAGUGUUAGCCACAUGGAGGUCAACACCAUCUACAUGGGCCACACAAGCAGUAGCCCCAGAAAAUGCUACCCGAAGCACCAGGUAAUUUAGAAAAGAAUUAGGAUCACCAACUUGAGCCUCCAAUGAAAUGUCAUUAUCGAGUCUCUUGAAAGCAUUAAUUAAAGCCUCCUUAACAUCAAUAUCAGCUGAUUCUCCAGUAUUGAGGUCUAUGAGUUCUUGCCAGUAAGUCCUCAAGCUGUUGAAAUACAAUUUGGACGCCUCCUUACUGAAGUAAUCAUUGGGGUGCUUGUGCCACUGAAGGAUAGGUAGCAGUGCCCGACCACUCUCCACUGCAUUUUCAAUCUCUAGCAAAGUCUCAUGGGGCAACAAGGAAACAGCAAUAUAAUAGAAGAGUCUUUCACUGACUGCCUGGGAACAAGCACAGCCUGCAUGACCAUCAAAAACCCCCAAGAGCAUCCCUCUGGUCUGCAAGCAGGUUGCUGCACUUCUCCGGUCCUCUAUGGGUGCAUUUGCAGGCAGCUGAUUGCUGUCAAAUCCAAGAAUGGAACUGACAUUUUUGCCAUCAAAUUCUGGUACUUUGAAGCUGUAUUCAUUAGCUUUAAGGAUGCUGUUGACUUGUGGAGGUGUGAGGUAAAAUUUCUGCGGUGUAGAAGCGUAUCUCCUUCCUUGAGUAUACUGCCACCAGUUCUCCCGUGGCCUACAAAAGGUAGCAUAUGCAGGAUGGGGUGUGUACCUCAGACGAUUCUGAGGAAUGUAUGGUGGUGAACAGCAGAGAUGUUUGUGGUGGCAGUAACAUGCAGUGCCAUAGAUUCUGCUCAGUUCACAGUUACGGACGAGAGGAAAAAACAGUUGAGUUGGUGCUGGCAUGGCAUCAGAGAACAGUGGCAGACUGGACGUUCUGACUGGGAUUCCUAGAGAGCAAAUUAAGACAGACACACACACAAAGAAAAGUUAUACUCUGUAUUAUCUGACAAGCUGUGCUUUAUAGAAAACAUUUCCUAAGGCAAUUUACAUAAAAUCCCUAUGCUAGGUUAAUUUCUACAGGGUGUUUUAUGGUAAUUAAAAUGUUCAACCAUUCAUGAAGUCAGGAAUGAACUACAGUUAAAUUUCUGUUUUCUCUUUCUUUUGUAUUUCUAUGUGCAGUACAAACUGUUCAGCAUACACAUCUAUCUGGCUGGAGAACACAGAUCAGGAAGUUAUGUAACACUGUGCCGCAGCAGUCUACCUGCCCAAUCACCAUUCUCCCUCUCUAUGCUUUUUCAAAGGGGCCUUAGAUCUCCCAUUUGCACAGUUACUUCUACUAUUUAUGAAGAUCUGUUCCUUGACCUGUGGUCAAUUGUUGACCUUUGAUUACACAUGGUAUCACCAGAAGCACUGAUAAAUCCUCAACAAAGCCAUGUUUAUAUCUUACUGGUAAAUUAUAUAAAUAUACCACUGUGUUAAUGCAAAGUUUAUUUUAACUUCUAGAGAACAUUUUCCACAUAGUAAAACUGAAACAGAAAUUCCCGCAUUUCUGAACCUCAGUGGAUGGAUGUUCUUGUAAAGCUUCCUUCUCUAUACCACUGUGCCAGCUUAGCAAGUUAAAGAAGGAGAGGUCUGCUCUUCGCCAAAUGAUCCUGGGAAAACACAUUUCACCUCUCUGGGACCUUCCCCACUAAACUUAAGUGAAUACAUGCAAGCAGACUAACUCUAAUGCCUCUUUAGAAUUCAUGCUUUUAAUGUUUGAGAUACUGAGGCUUUGAAAUCAAAUAUAGGGUUUACUGAUUCACUGCUGAAUUUUGCUGCGCCAUUUGUGAUUGAAAAAAAAAUCAAGUAUUCUUGUAGCUAUAAACCUGAUUUUUGGAAACAAA
rnacentral:lncRNA from 1 species